rnacentral:rRNA from 1 species
UACGUAGGUGGCAAGCGUUGUCCGGGAUUACUGGGUGUAAAGGGAGCGCAGGCGGGAAGCCAAGUCAGCUGUGAAAACUACGGGCUUAACUUGUAGACUGCAGUUGAAACUGGUUUUCUUGAGUGAAGUAGAGGUUGGCGGAAUUCCGAGUGUAGCGGUGAAAUGCGUAGAUAUUCGGAGGAACACCGGUGGCGAAGGCGGCCAACUGGGCUUUAACUGACGCUGAGGCUCGAAAGUGUGGGGAGCAAACAGG